CUUUGGGGGAGGUCGCCCUGCGCCCAGGCCGUGCUCGGGCCUCGGAUCCAGCGCAACAACUUGCCCCGCGAGCACCCCCUCUUCUCCCAGAUUGCAGCGACCGGCGACGGCAGAUUGGAGCAGGCCGCCCCACCGGCCGAGAUGGGAUCCACCGCACCGACCCUACCUGUGAGAACCCGACCCUCUUGUCUCCCCAAUUGAAGCGACCAACGACGACUCUCUAGGUAAUUUCCUCAUUCUGCCCUCCCCAUCCUGCCAGACCCUAAUGUUCAAAGAACAGGGUUCAUGCAUAGCACUCCUCAUCCCGGCCCAUCUCGGUAAUUAGGAUUUUUCAAAGUUUGUAAUCUGUAAUGAUUAGGGUUCAUUAUAUUAAGUUCAUACUGUACAUUUGAUCUGUUAUUUAACUUAAUUGUGGAUGCACCAUAUUUUCAUGGAUUUUAUUCAGGGCCGCACCAGAGAAUUCAGAGUCCAUGUAAAUCAAAGUUAAGCCCUAUGUGUGAAAAAGCAAAUCAUUUUUUUGCAGUCGCUGCAGUUUUUUGACAAAAGAUUACACCGAUUGACUACACAGGUUCAGAAAAGACCAGCAAAUAGUAAGUGAGAGAGAGGGCAGAUAUAAAGCGUGAGAGGAUUUGAUGCAUUGUGAUUAGAGAGAGAUACAGUGGUUGGGUUGGCAAAACAUAUGUUCAUCAGUUCUUUACUUUAGUAUCUAAUGCUUAAUUUAGAACUUUGAUUAAAAACAAUUUGGGGCCCUCCGGUUCUGGAGGCCCUGUUUGGCUUUGCAACAGUGAAAAAUAUGCGUAGAGCAUUCACAUAUAUAGCACGGUGCAUUCUGCUUUUGCAACAGAUCCUCAAAAGCAUCAUACAACAAUGUCUUGGCCAUCUCAAUUUUUCUAGAAGUAUAUUACAUAAGUACAGAGAAGCAUCAAUUCCAGGAUUUAGUAUAAUGGAACACAAGAUGGCUUAUAUUUAGUACAAUGGUAUUUUAUUUGGAUGUACAGUGCAACUGCCAGGCUUCACACAUUGGUGGCAUACAAGUCCUAAAUUGUGUUUUUGUAAGAUUCAGGUAUCUACCAAAAGGCAUCUUUUGUAGUUUAAUUAAGUCGUACUUCUGAUUUGGACUUGAAACUUCAGUUUUCAGAUUGAAGGAGGCCACUGCAUCGCCGAUCUUGGAUCCACCGCAUCAACCUGACUCGAGCACCCGGCUCUCUUCUCUCCUACAAUGGGCGGUGUCUCUCAGUGAUUUACUCAUCCUGCCCUCCUCAUGUCGCCACCGCUUGAUGUUCAGUGAUUCGGGUUCAUGCAUACUACUCGGCAUCCUGCUCUUCUAUGUAAUUUAGGAUUUGCCACAACUUGCUAUGGUAAAAAGCCUGAACCUCUUGCCAAUUAACUUUUGAGAUCCUAUUGAUAGAUGUGUGUAUAACUGCACUAGUGAACAUGAUUUUGCAUUUGUUAUAGCCUGCUAUUGUAAAAAGGCCUGAACCUGAAUAUAUGCUACUGCAGUACAGUUAGCCGUUGUGCAAAAGUUCAGUUAGCUAUCAUAUGCAUGGCCUUAGCUGAGAGAUUUCUUUUGCAGCCAUGUGCUAGUAUGGCUACUCUCGCAUACAAAAGGAAACUAUAUGUUGACCAUCUGAUUGUUGAACCCUGCUGUAAUGACAAAAACUAGAUCCUCUUGAUCGUUGAAUGGUGUCAUAAUCGUAUGAACAUAAACACAUGAACUAAAGUAUGCAAGUACAAGCAGGAAGCAGCACAUCCUUGUAUCCUUGCAUCCUUGUAUCUACAUGUCCGAAUAAACUAGCUUCUGGAUGCAACUACUAUAUGUAUGCUAAAACCUGAAACUUAUGGUUCUACUGUCCCAUAAAUAGUACUUCAGUAGUGUUGAAGACUGAGCCUGCGCUUAAUUUUGACUUGCUACAGAGAUGUAUAGCCCUGCACUAGUGUACUUUUCUCUCCAAUACUAGAUAAAAGAGAACUAAACUUAAUCUUUUCCAUGCCUCUCCUAAUUGAUUAGCUACCCAUGAUGUUAAGCAUCUGAAGCCCACAAGCAUUUCAGUACGCCUAGAACUUGAUACAAGCAGAUACAUGGUAAACUUCAGUUUUUGACUAUAUUAUGACAUACUAAACUGGUUAAAUCAAUCUGCUCCUAAUCUUGGAUGAAUAUAGUAAAUUUUAUGGUUUUCUGAACUAUGCCAGCAGCUAUAGUAAUCAUAUUUUUUGAUGUUUUUAUUCUGAACAUUCUGAUCUUGUUUUCAUGGUUUGUUGUCUGCGUCUCCCUGACUGUGCCCCAGCUGCAUCAUGCAUGUUGAUUGCUUCACAUGUUAGAUCCUAAUGAAUGAAAUCUUCAUUUUCUAUUUAUAUAAUCUGACAUGAAUUGCUUGUUGGCAGUGCUGCCUGUUUACGUCUAUUUUACGCAAUCUAGUUCUUUUUGUCUACGACCAAUGCGAAGCCAACUUUUAACAGGUAAGUCAAUGUAAUCAGUUACGUUACAAGUACUACAUCCAUAUGCUUACCCAUAGUGCAAGAAAGAGUAAAUGCUUUUCAUUAAUUUCACUUUCACUAUUACUGAUAUAUAAUAUUAGUGCAUCAUGUGUUUGCAUCCUAACUUAUCUACUUUAUUAUAUUCAGAUGUAAGCUACAAAAAAGUACAUUUGCACAUAUAAAAUGGCUGCAUCUUUUAAGGUCCAUUUCCAAACAUGUUUAUGCAGAAUUCAUUUAUCUAGUGUAGGCUGGUGGCCUUUUGGCAAUUCAUUCAGUUCACUCACUGUUUUCUUUUCCAUCUUCAGCUAGUAAAAUAAUGCCACCAAGCGAGAGCAUGUGAAGAGACGCAUAGUAAGCAACACGAAGAAUUGGAAGCUGUGAAGAAGAGCGGGCAAGAGAAGAAUGAAGCAUGGCAAAAGAAGCAACAUGAGAUGGAUAACCUCAUUGGUUUUCUCUUAAGGGCUCAAGCAAGUCAGCAAGCAACUCAACAGUCCUAGUCCAAACCAGAAGGUGCAUGAAGACCAUCCUUUUGUGAUGGAAGUAGUUGUUGAAUCAUACAUUGCAAUCAUCAUGACAACACAUGUUGUUUUUAGUUAUAUAAAUAUUGCUUUUCAACUUGACUAUUGUUGUGUCAAACUCGUGAGUUGGUGUUAUUUUGUACUGUCAUUUUUGUUGAGAGGACAAUUAGGCUGAGAGAUUGAAUAUAUAGUAUGAUUUGUCUUCCAUUUUAUUUUAUGAUGUGAUUUGGAUCUUAACUUUUUAUAUAAUGUGAUGUGAAUUAAAU
rnacentral:lncRNA from 1 species